rnacentral:rRNA from 1 species
CCUACGGGUGGCAGCAGUCGAGAAUUAUUCACAAUGGGGGAAACCCUGAUGGUGCGACGCCGCGUGGGGGAAUGAAGGUCUUCGGAUUGUAAACCCCUGUCAUGUGGGAGCAAAUUAAAAAGAUAGUACCACAAGAGGAAGUGACGGCGAACCCUGUGCCAGCAGCCGCGGUAAUACAGGGGGCUCAAGCGCUGUUCGGAAUAACUGGGCGUAAAGCGGGCGUAGGCUGUUUUGUAAGUAGUGUGGGAAAGGCGCGGGCUCAACCCGCGGACGGCACAUGAUACUGCGAGACUAGAGUAAUGGAGGGGGAACCGGAAUUCUUGGUGUAGCAGUGAAAUGCGUAGAUAUCGAGAGGAACACUCGUGGCGAAGGCGGGUUCCUGGACAUUAACUGACGCUGAGGCACGAAGGCCAGGGGAGCGAAAGGGAUUAGAUACCCUUGUAGUC